rnacentral:rRNA from 1 species
AGACGUGUGCUCUUCCGAUCUGGGGGAUGCCUUGGCAUUGAGAGACGAUGAAGGGCGUGGAAGUCUGCGAAAUUCUUGGGGGAGUUGACAAACAAGCGAUGAUCCCGAGGUUCCCGAAUUGCCCCGGACUGAAUACAUAGGUCCGGACGUGAUAACCUGGUGAACUGAAACAUCUAAGUAACCAGAGGAAGAGAAAGAAAAAUCGAUUCCGUUAGUAGCGGCGAGCGAAAACGGAAUAGCCCAAACCAGAGAGGUUUCCUUUCUGGGGUUGUAGGACUUCAAUGUUGGAUUGUGUAUCGCUAGUGGAAGGCUCUGGAAAGGGUCGCCAUAGAGGGUGACAGCCCCGUACGCGAAAGUAGAUACACACCAUAGAAGCACCUGAGUAGGUCCAGUCACGUGAAACCUGGACUGAAUCCACGGGGACCAUCCCGUAAGGCUAAAUACUCCUCAAUGACCGAUAGCGAACCAGUAGCGUGAGUGAAUGGUGAGAAGAACCCCUGCUAGGGGAGGAAAGUGAACCUGAAACCAUGUGCCUACAAGCGGUCGGAGCCCUAUGGCGUUUACGUCACGGGUGACGGCGUGCCUUUUGCAUAAUGAUCCGGCGAGUUGUGGUAUGUGGCGUGGUUAAGUCCUGACGGGACGUAGCCCAAGGGAAACCGAGUCUGAAUAGGGCGACAAUUGUCAUAUGCUGCAGACGCGAAAGCUGUGUGAUCUACCCAUGGGCAGGUUGAAGCGUGGGUUAAACUGCGUGGAGGACCGAACCCACUUAGGUUGAAAACUGAGGGGAUGACCUGUGGGGAGGACUGAAAGUGUAAUCAAACCAGCAGAUAGCUCGUUCUCUCCGAAAUAUCUUGAGGGAUAGCGUCGAGCCACUAUUUACCGGGGGUAGAGAGACUGAAUCGGAUGGGGGCCCUUCCCGGGGUACCCCACCGAACCAAACUCCGAAUACCGGUAAAAUUAUCUCGGCAGUCAGUCCCUGGGGGAUAAGCUCCAGGGUCGAGAGGGAAACAACCCAGAUCGCCUGCUAAGGUCCCGAAGUAGUACUCAGUCACUAAGGAAGUUGAAGUGCCGUGACAGCUGGGAUGUUGGCUUAGAAGCAGCCACCAUUUAAAAAGUGCGUAACAGCUUACCAGUCGAGCAUUUCUGCGCCGAUAAUGAACGGGAGUAAGUACUACACCGAAGCAGCGGAUUCUAACCUUUUGGUUAGAGUGGUAGGAGAGCGUCGAAGACCAGAUACAAGCCAUACGGUAACGAGUGGUGUCGGGGUCUUCGAGUGAUUAUGCCGGAAUGAGUAACGAUAAAACAGGUGAGAAUCCUGUUCGCCGAAAGCCUAAGGUUUCCUGGGGAAGGUAAAUCCGCCCAGGGUUAGCCGGUACCUUAGUCGAGGCCGAAAGGCGUAGACGAUGGACAGAAGGUCAACAUUCCUUCGCCGGUUGUGUAUUCGAUGCAGGGACGGCGUCCAGAAAGUGAGCGGUACGAAUAGAAAUGUCCGUAGCGAAAGCCGAGUUGGCGGGGGUUAAAUUACUCGCAUAAUACAAGGCAUAGCUCGAGAGCACUUAAGUUCUCGAAGUCAUUGGAAGGACGUCCAAGAAAAGCUGCUAGGUUAAGCAACUGACCGUACUAAAACUGACACAGGUAGGCGAGAUGAGUAUUCUAAGGCGCUCGGGAGAACGGUGGUUAAGGAACUCUGCAAAAUGGCCCCGUAAGUUCGCGAUAAGGGGCGCCCCCGAUGGUUUACGCUGUUGGGGGCCACAGAAAAUCGGCUGUAUCGACUGUUUAUCAAAAACACAGGUCUCUGCUAACACGCAAGUGGAUGUAUAGAGACUGACGCCUGCCCGGUGUUGGUAGGUUAAGGAAGACGGUUAGCUCUUCGGAGCGAAGCUGGCGACCGAAGCCCCAAUAAACGGCGGCCCUAACUAUGAGGGUCCUAAGGUAGCGAAGUUCCUUGUCGGGUAAGUUCCGACCUGCAUGAAAGAGAUCGGAAGAGCACACGUCUGAACUCCAGUCACAAUACCUAUCUCG